GUUUACUUUUAUGUGUGGAUGUGAAACGGGAUUGUUGUGAAGAAGUUAAAUUGUUGGACCUGUAUGUGGGUGAGCGGCCAUUUUCUGCAGUAAGGGAUAAGUUGCGAGAUCGUCUGUGUGCUGCAGUAUUCCAAGUGAGCUGAGAUUGCCGUGGAAUGUAAGUGUUUAUAGAAAAUGUAUGUAACACUUCCACAUUUUUUAAAGGAGCCUUGUGUGAUUUAGCUGUUUGUAUUUUGUUCUGCACAGACAGAGGCCACUGCCAUAUUUUUGUGUUUUGUACUUUAUUUCAUUUCCUUUAUUCCUCGUGUUGUACUGGCGCAUCUAUUUUUUUAAUCGUUUAUUCUGUUACUUUGCCACGUUACCUCUCAUGUUGUCAGUGUUCAGUACAAGUCCACAUGGCUGCUGUUUGACAAAAGUAAAGGUCAAAGGACAUUUUUGUUUAUUCAGUCGUCAUUGACAAUAAAAACUGCACAUUAAGAACCCCAGUAAUUGUGUCCUGUGUGGCUAACCAUUUUCCAGGCUACACUCAUCUUAAUGUGGAGAUUCAUUUGAAUAUGCACUUUCUGAUGUGCAUUAACUCAUUUCACUGUGUGUCAAACCAUUUCAACAUAUCAGUCAUUAAAUUAAAGGGGAAAUAAGGUGGAAAAUGAGAAGCUGUAAUUGUCAAAUCUGUAGCAUGCAUGUAUUAAAUAAUUGUUGUUUACAUGUGAAGAGAUCCUUUUUCAAAGGCUAUUUCACUGGAUCAUCUUUUCUAAAGAAUGUAACAGGUUAAGUUAAGAUAAAAUUUAUAAAAUGAUUGUCAGCAGUAAUUGAGUCUGCCAUCCCACCUACCAGACAGGAUUUUCUAUGAAUGUCCAUGUAAUCAGCCUCACUGUGUUUAGUUAGACUAAGUUGAUGCUACUACUUUAAGCAGCAUUACAAAUGGAUCUUUUUGGCCUGAGUGGAUGAAAAUGAGCAUCACCUAUUUCAUAUGGAUUAAUAUUGCAUUACAACAGCCAAACCCUGUUCUGCAACAAUUCUAAACAAUAGUAAUAACCCAUACUAAACGAUAACUGGUUUAUUACAGGCACUCGUAUUAAGUAUAAAACACAAACAACAAUCCUAAACAUUUUCUGAUCAGGUGCUUUUCUGUGUCGGGGCAUUUGAACAUUUCCUCUAAACUUUAAACUUGUGAAAAUGACUGUGAUUGUAUUUAUGAGGUUUCUACACAACACUAAAACGUUUAAAUCAUGUGUAUUAUGUUUUUGUUGUUCUUUUUAUUUUGUUAAAAUAUUUGACUUUAAUCUCUGACUUUAAUCCUUUUGACAAAACAUGAUAGUUGCAAAUUCAGCAAACAUGUUGAUUAAUCACAGAGAUGAAUGUUUUAGAAACAAAGUCAUUUCUCUGUAUUUAGCUGCCAAAUCUAGUGCUACUUUCACUCAUCCAUUAUCAUUUGUUUAGCUUGUUCAAAUGUUUCACGUGGCAUAAUUCUUUGCUUCUUUAGUUUCAGCUCAGAUUUGGAAUCACACCUUUAUCUCAGCUUUUUGAAUCCAGUGUUUUGGCAGUCAGACAGAAUACAUGAGUGAGAAGGAUGGAGGUGGUGAAGGUGGAUGAGUUUGCUGUAAAUAACUGAAAGCAACCAUCCAAAGAAACAAAAAGUGAAUGAAUGAGGUGAUGAACAGAGUGCAGGCAGGGUGUAGUGGGAGGAUACAACGAGUUUUAGUGGUGAUCUGUGACAGAAGGACAAGAAGAGUUAAGGGGAAGGUUUACAAGAUGGUGUCCUGCUGCCAUUUCUUAUGGGCUCAUCAUGACUCACUCAGGUCUAUAGCUGGAUGUGGUACAGCUAUGACAACUUUGACAUGAAGCCAGAAGUGAAUUUGUGGUGUUCAAUAAAUUCAUUGCCUCCCACCUGACACCUGAAAAUCAACUUAUUUCUUUUAUAACUUCAGCUGUGUCUGUAUCUUUCAACUGUAUCUUUAUAUAUAUGUAAAAUUUCCCUCUCCCCCCUGCGGGCAGUCUUUAUCCUUCAAGCUCGGGUCCUCUACCAGAGGCCUGGGAGCUUGAGGGUCCUGCUCAGUAUCUUUGCUGCUCCUAGGACUGUGCUCUUCUAGACAGAGAUCUCUGAUGUUGUUCCUGGGAUCUGCUGGAGCCACUUAUGAAGCUUGGGGGUCACCGCACCGAGCACUCCGAUUACCAUUGGGACCACUCUUACCUUCACCCUCCAGAUCCUCUCCAGCUUUUCUCUGAGCCCUUGGUACUUCUCCAGCUUCUCCUGUUCCUUCUUCCUGCUGUUGCUGUCAUUGGGACCUUGGGACUUCCAGGCCAUUCCUCAGCACAGAUGUUUCUGUAUACUAUACUGUAUUGCCUGUUGUAGGGUGUGCUUGAAAUUAAAACUGGAAAAUCUCA